rnacentral:rRNA from 1 species
AGGUUAAGUGAAUAAGGGCGCACGGUGGAUGCCUUGGCACUAGGAGCCGAUGAAGGACGGGACUAACACCGAUAUGCUUUGGGGAGCUGUACGUAAGCUAUGAUCCAGAGAUUUCCGAAUGGGGGAACCCAACAUCUUUAAUAGGAUGUUACGAUUGUGUGAAUACAUAGCACAUUCGAGGUAGACGCAGAGAACUGAAACAUCUAAGUACCUGCAGGAAGAGAAAGAAAAUUCGAUUCCCUGAGUAGCGGCGAGCGAAACGGGAAAAGCCCAAACCAGCAAGCUUGCUUGUUGGGGUUGUAGGACUCCAAUAUGGUAGUUCUUUCAGAUAGUCGAAUGACUUGGAAAAGUCAGUCAAAGAGGGUAAAAACCCCGUAGACGAAAUGUGGAAGACACCUAGGAGGAUCCUGAGUACGGCGGAACACGAGAAAUUCCGUCGGAAUCCGGGAGGACCAUCUCCCAAGGCUAAAUACUCCCUAGUGACCGAUAGUGAACCAGUACCGUGAGGGAAAGGUGAAAAGCACCCCGGAAGGGGAGUGAAAUAGAACCUGAAACCGUGUGCCUACAACAAGUCAAAGCCCGUUAAUGGGUGAUGGCGUGCCUUUUGUAGAAUGAACCGGCGAGUUACGAUUGCAUGCGAGGUUAAGUUGAAGAGACGGAGCCGCAGCGAAAGCGAGUCUGAAUAGGGCGUUUGAGUAUGUAGUCGUAGACCCGAAACCAUGUGAUCUACCCAUGUCCAGGUUGAAGGUGCGGUAAAACGCACUGGAGGACCGAACCCACGUACGUUGAAAAGUGCGGGGAUGAGGUGUGGGUAGCGGAGAAAUUCCAAACGAACUUGGAGAUAGCUGGUUCUCUCCGAAAUAGCUUUAGGGCUAGCCUCGGAAUUGAGAAUGAUGGAGGUAGAGCACUGUUUGGACUAGGGGCCCAUCUCGGGUUACCGAAUUCAGAUAAACUCCGAAUGCCAUUCAUUCAUAUCCGGGAGUCAGACUGUGAGUGAUAAGAUCCAUAGUCGAAAGGGAAACAGCCCAGACCACCAGCUAAGGUCCCAAAAUAUAUGUUAAGUGGAAAAGGAUGUGGGGUUGCACAGACAACUAGGAUGUUGGCUUAGAAGCAGCCAUCAUUUAAAGAGUGCGUAAUAGCUCACUAGUCGAGUGACCCUGCGCCGAAAAUGUACCGGGGCUAAACAUAUUACCGAAGCUGUGGAGUACACCUUUAGGUGUAUUGGUAGGAGAGCGUUCUAAGGGCGUCGAAGGCAGAUCGUGAGGACUGCUGGAGCGCUUAGAAGUGAGAAUGCCGGUAUGAGUAGCGAAAGACAGGUGAGAAUCCUGUCCACCGAAUGACUAAGGUUUCCUGGGGAAGGCUCGUCCGCCCAGGGUUAGUCGGGACCUAAGCCGAGGCCGACAGGCGUAGGCGAUGGAUAACAGGUUGAUAUUCCUGUACCCGUUGUUUUUGUUUGAGCAAUGGAGGGACGCAGGAGGCUAAGGAAUGCAGACGAUCGGAAAUGUCUGUCCAAGCAGUAAGUCUGAAGAGGAGUCAAAUGCUUCUUUUCUUAAGGACAAGCUGUGAUGGGGAGGGAAAUAAUAGUACCGAAGUUCCUGAUGUCACACUGCCGAGAAAAGCUUCUAGUGAGAAAACAGCGGCCCGUACCGCAAACCGACACAGGUAGUCGAGGAGAGAAUCCUAAGGUGAGCGAGAGAACUCUCGUUAAGGAACUCGGCAAAAUGACCCCGUAACUUCGGGAGAAGGGGUGCUGAUCAUACGAUCAGCCGCAGUGAAUAGGCCCAAGCGACUGUUUAUCAAAAACACAGGUCUCUGCAAAAUCGUAAGAUGAAGUAUAGGGGCUGACGCCUGCCCGGUGCUGGAAGGUUAAGAGGAGUGCUUAGCGCAAGCGAAGGUACGAAUUGAAGCCCCAGUAAACGGCGGCCGUAACUAUAACGGUCCUAAGGUAGCGAAAUUCCUUGUCGGGUAAGUUCCGACCCGCACGAAAGGCGUAACGAUUUGGGCACUGUCUCAACGAGAGACUCGGUGAAAUUUUAGUACCUGUGAAGAUGCAGGUUACCCGCGACAGGACGGAAAGACCCCAUGGAGCUUUACUGUAGUUUGAUAUUGAGUGUCUGUACCGCAUGUACAGGAUAGGUAGGAGCCGUAGAAAUCGGAACGCUAGUUUCGAUGGAGGCGCUGGUGGGAUACUACCCCUGCGUUAUGGCCACUCUAACCCGCACCACUAAUCGUGGUGGGAGACAGUGUCAGAUGGGCAGUUUGACUGGGGCGGUCGCCUCCUAAAAGGUAACGGAGGCGCCCAAAGGUUCCCUCAGAAUGGUUGGAAAUCAUUCGAAGAGUGUAAAGGCAGAAGGGAGCUUGACUGCGAGACCAACAAGUCGAGCAGGGACGAAAGUCGGGCUUAGUGAUCCGGUGGUUCCGCAUGGAAGGGCCAUCGCUCAACGGAUAAAAGCUACCCUGGGGAUAACAGGCUUAUCUCCCCCAAGAGUCCACAUCGACGGGGAGGUUUGGCACCUCGAUGUCGGCUCGUCGCAUCCUGGGGCUGUAGUCGGUCCCAAGGGUUGGGCUGUUCGCCCAUUAAAGCGGCACGCGAGCUGGGUUCAGAACGUCGUGAGACAGUUCGGUCCCUAUCCGUCGCGGGCGUUGGAAAUUUGAGAGGAGCUGUCCUUAGUACGAGAGGACCGGGAUGGACUUACCGCUGGUGUACCAGUUGUUCUGCCAAGGGCAUUGCUGGGUAGCUAUGUAGGGAAGGGAUAAACGCUGAAAGCAUCUAAGUGUGAAGCCCACCUCAAGAUGAGAUUUCCCAUUUCUUUAAGAAAGUAAGAUCCCUGAGAGAUGAUCAGGUAGAUAGGUCAGGAGUGGAAGUACAGUGAUGUAUGGAGCGGACUGAUACUAAUCGAUCGAGGACUUAACCAAU